rfam:Homo sapiens chromosome 22, GRCh38 reference primary assembly.
GCUGGGCGUGGUGGCGCGCGCCUGUAGUCCCAGCUACUUGGGAAGCUGAGGCACGAGAAUCGCUUGAGCCCAGGAGGCUGAGGUUGCAGUGAGCCGAGAUUCCGCCAUUGCACUCCAGCCUGGGCGACAGAGCGAGACUCCGUCUCAA